GAGUGGCGGACGGGUGAGUAAUGCUUGGGAACUUGCCUUUGCGAGGGGGAUAACAGUUGGAAACGACUGCUAAUACCGCAUAAUGUCUUCGGACCAAACGGGGCUUCGGCUCCGGCGCAAAGAGAGGCCCAAGUGAGAUUAGCUAGUUGGUAAGGUAACGGCUUACCAAGGCGACGAUCUCUAGCUGUUCUGAGAGGAAGAUCAGCCACACUGGGACUGAGACACGGCCCAGACUCCUACGGGAGGCAGCAGUGGGGAAUAUUGCACAAUGGGGGAAACCCUGAUGCAGCCAUGCCGCGUGGGUGAAGAAGGCCUUCGGGUUGUAAAGCACUUUCAGUUGUGAGGAAAAGUUAGUAGUUAAUACCUGCUAGCCGUGACGUUAACAACAGAAGAAGCACCGGCUAACUCCGUGCCAGCAGCCGCGGUAAUACGGAGGGUGCGAGCGUUAAUCGGAAUUACUGGGCGUAAAGCGCACGCAGGCGGUUUGUUAAGCUAGAUGUGAAAGCCCCGGGCUCAACCUGGGAUGGUCAUUUAGAACUGGCAGACUAAAGUCUUGGAGAGGGGAGUGGAAUUCCAGGUGUAGCGGUGAAAUGCGUAGAUAUCUGGAGGAACAUCAGUGGCGAAGGCGACUCCCUGGCCAAAGACUGACGCUCAUGUGCGAAAGUGUGGGUAGCGAACAGGAUUAGAUACCCUGGUAGUCCACACCGUAAACGCUGUCUACUAGCUGUGUGUGUCUUUAAGACGUGCGUAGCGAAGCUAACGCGCUAAGUAGACCGCCUGGGGAGUACGGCCGCAAGGUUAAAACUCAAAUGAAUUGACGGGGGCC
rnacentral:rRNA from 1 species